AUACUUGAUAUCUGCUGAGGAUCUGUGAGGUGAACAAUGAAUGUACUCGUGAGAAUGUGGUAAUUAAAAGACAACCACUAGAUAUCUUUGAUUGGAUCAUGCUCUUGUUGUGGUUCUGUUGUAGUGCGAGAAUACGGUAAAGAUGGUCAAGAGACCAUGACCAUCUUUAGGAUUGUAAUUGGAGCUUGUUCUCUAGGAUGCUGGCAAUUGGCUUUCUUCGGACAAUGUUCUGAAAAGAAAUCUACUAUGAAUACCCCGAUUCUUGUAUUGCAGUAUGUUACGUCUUCCUACGAUCUGGCACUGUUGUCAUAAGAAGAAAAAUAGAUAAGUACCAUCUUGGAAUCUCCGUCCAAACAGUCAAUUCUGGAGAGAACCAAAGCUACCACCAGCCCCUCCGCCGCCACCAUUCCCCAAGGGCUAUACUCCACCAACUACAGAAGCGGAGAAAGGUGCAGAGACUCAGCAACAGCAGAAUCAGUAACUCCCAUUGAUCCCAUAAUUGAUCAAGGCCCUGCUAAACGGAUGAAGUUUUGAAAAAUGAAGAGCUGUGCUCCCAGAUUGACAUCACAUAGAAACCUCGGAAGAAAAGCCAUUCUUGUGACCAUCAACUGAACCACACAAUGACUUGGGAAGAAGUCUGUUAGAGUGAACCGCUCAGCUCUUGCAUUAGACAAAAGAAUGCACAAGUCUUUUUGGUUUCAUUCUUUGUUUUAUCUUGUAUAUUCGUUGUAUGGUGGAUCAACUCGACACAAGCUCAAGUUUUAAUUUGAUCCAUGGAAAAGGAUGAUUAUUGGUA